GCGCAAGCCUGAUCCAGCCAUACCGCGUGGUGAAGAAGGCUUCGGGUUGUAAAGCCCUUUUGUUGGGAAAGAAAUCCAGCUGGCUAAUACCCGGUUGGGAUGACGGUACCCAAAGAAUAAGCACCGGCUAACUUCGUGCCAGCAGCCGCGGUAAUACGAAGGGUGCAAGCGUUACUCGGAAUUACUGGGCGUAAAGCGUGCGUAGGUGGUCGUUUAAGUCCGUUGUGAAAGCCCUAGGCUCAACCUGGGAACUGCAGUGGAUACUGGGCGACUAGAGUGUGGUAGAGGGUAGCGGAAUUCCUGGUGUAGCAGUGAAAUGCGUAGAGAUCAGGAGGAACAUCCAUGGCGAAGGCAGCUACCUGGACCAAYACUGACACUGAGGCACGAAAGCGUGGGGAGCAAACAGGAUUAGAUACCCUGGUAGUCCACGCCCUAAACGAUGCGAACUGGAUGUUGGGU
rnacentral:rRNA from 1 species